GAUGAACGCUGGCGGCGUGCCUAAUACAUGCAAGUCGAGCGAACGGACGAGAAGCUUGCUUCUCUGAUGUUAGCGGCGGACGGGUGAGUAACACGUGGAUAACCUACCUAUAAGACUGGGAUAACUUCGGGAAACCGGAGCUAUUACCGGAUAAUAUUUUGAACCGCAUGGUUCAAAAGUGAAAGACGGUCUUGCUGUCACUUAUAGAUGGAUCCGCGCUGCAUUAGCUAGUUGGUAAGGUAACGGCUUACCAAGGCAACGAUGCAUAGCCGACCUGAGAGGGUGAUCGGCCACACUGGAACUGAGACACGGUCCAGACUCCUACGGGAGGCAGCAGUAGGGAAUCUUCCGCAAUGGGCGAAAGCCUGACGGAGCAACGCCGCGUGAGUGAUGAAGGUCUUCGGAUCGUAAAACUCUGUUAUUAGGGAAGAACAUAUGUGUAAGUAACUGUGCACAUCUUGACGGUACCUAAUCAGAAAGCCACGGCUAACUACGUGCCAGCAGCCGCGGUAAUACGUAGGUGGCAAGCGUUAUCUGGAAUUAUUGGGCGUAAGCGCGCGUAAGGCGGUUUUUAAGUCUGAUGUGAAAGCCCACGGCUCAUCCGUGGAGGGUCAUUGGAAACUGGAAAACUUGAGUGCAGAAGAGGAAAGUGGAAUUCCAUGUGUAGCGGUGAAAUGCGCAGAGAUAUGGAGGAACACCAGUGGCGAAGGCGACUUUCUGGUCUGUAACUGACGCUGAUGUGCGGAAGCGUGGGGAUCAAACAGGAUUAGAUACCCUGGUAGUCCACGCCGUAAACGAUGAGUGCUAAGUGUUAGGGGGUUUCCGCCCCUUAGUGCUGCAGCUAACGCAUUAAGCACUCCGCCUGGGGAGUACGACCGCAAGGUUGAAACUCAAAGGAAUUGACGGGGACCCGCACAAGCGGUGGAGCAUGUGGUUUAAUUCGAAGCAACGCGAAGAACCUUACCAAAUCUUGACAUCCUUUGACAACUCUAGAGAUAGAGCCUUCCCCUUCGGGGGACAAAGUGACAGGUGGUGCAUGGUUGUCGUCAGCUCGUGUCGUGAGAUGUUGGGUUAAGUCCCGCAACGAGCGCAACCCUUAAGCUUAGUUGCCAUCAUUAAGUUGGGCACUCUAAGUUGACUGCCGGUGACAAACCGGAGGAAGGUGGGGAUGACGUCAAAUCAUCAUGCCCCUUAUGAUUUGGGCUACACACGUGCUACAAUGGACAAUACAAAGGGCAGCGAAACCGCGAGGUCAAGCAAAUCCCAUAAAGUUGUUCUCAGUUCGGAUUGUAGUCUGCAACUCGACUACAUGAAGCUGGAAUCGCUAGUAAUCGUAGAUCAGCAUGCUACGGUGAAUACGUUCCCGGGUCU
rnacentral:rRNA from 1 species